CGAGAUGAGUUCUCCCUGAGACUGUAAGUCUCCUGAAGGAACGUUGAAGACGACGACGUUGAUAGGCCGGGUGUGUAAGCGCAGCGAUGCGUUGAGCUAACCGGUACUAAUGAACCGUGAGGCUUAAC
rnacentral:rRNA from 2 species